GUGUUUUUAUUUCUUUUUUUUGAAAUAUUUUUUAUUUAUUUUGGUCAUUUUUUUAUUUAACUGCUAUCGCACCCGCUGGUUUACCAGUCAUAAAACUCCCGCAAACGCACUAAUUUUCAAACGCUAAACCAGUCGUUCAAAACGCUUGAUAACGCUUAAAGCCGCAACCGCCCGCUUCCGCAAACUCCCGCAACCGCAACCGCAACCGCUGCGUU
rnacentral:lncRNA from 1 species